rnacentral:rRNA from 1 species
UACAGAGGGUGCGAGCGUUAAUCGGAAUUACUGGGCGUAAAGCGCGCGCAGGCGGUUUUUCAAGUCAGUGGUGAAAGCCCGGAGCUCAACUCCGGAACUGCCAUUGAAACUGUGAAACUUGAGGAUGAGAGAGGUGAGUGGAAUUCCCAGUGUAGAGGUGAAAUUCGUAGAUAUUGGGAAGAACACCGGUGGCGAAGGCGGCUCACUGGCUCAUUUCUGACGCUCAGGCGCGACAGCGUGGGGAUCAAACAGG